GCCGGAUUGGCGGAAUGGCAGACGCGGAGCACUCAAAAUGCUUUGUUCGUAAGGACGUGUGGGUUCAAGUCCCAUAUCCGGCA
rnacentral:tRNA from 1 species